rnacentral:tRNA from 1 species
GGGCGCAUAGCUCAGUUGGUCAGAGCGCACGGUUCACAUCCGUGAGGUCAUAGGUUCGAGUCCUUUUGCGCCCA